rnacentral:tRNA from 5 species
GAGAGUGUCGUCUAAUGGAAGGGCAUCGGUCUUCUAAACCGAUCUGUGUAGGUUCAAGUCCUACCACUCUCGCCA